rnacentral:rRNA from 1 species
CUUUACUGUAGCUUGGUAUUGUGCCCGGGCUCUGAAUGCGCAGGAUAGGUGGGAGGCUUUGAUCCAUUGCUUGUGGGUGAUGGUGAGCCAACGGUGAGAUACCACUCUGUCAGAGCUAGAAUUCUAACCUUCACCCGUGAUCCGGGGAAGGAACCGUAUCAGGUGGGCAGUUUGACUGGGGCGGUCGCCUCCUAAAAGGUAACGGAGGCGCGCAAAGGUGUUCUCAGGCUGGUUGGAAAUCAGCCGUAGAGUGUAAAGGCAGAAGGGAGCUUGACUGUGAGACCUACAAGUCGAACAGGGACGAAAGUCGGCCUUAGUGAUCCGACGGUUCUGUGUGGAAGGGCCGUCGCUCAACGGAUAAAAGUUA